CUUAAUUUGAAAAAGCUAUAAUUGCCCAGGGAUCUCUUUGUUCGGGGUCCCUCUUCGGAGGCACCCAACUCGAGCUGUAACCACUGCACGCGUGUCAUUACAAUUUAUUUAUUUAAUUUGCCUUGAUUUGGCUCCGAGCUUUUCAGCGGGAACCUAGGGUCGGACCCUCCUCGAGUUGUAAUUACUGCACGCGUAUUGCCAAAACUUACACCCAGGGAGAAGAGGACCCACCUACCACCAGACGGGAGCCCCCCCACCGCCGAGACUCCCAAAGGAAGAGGACCAACGGGAAGCCGCUGGAUCCACAGGAAGGAGAAGCGGCUGGACAAGUCUGCAUGGCGCUUUCAUAAGGAAAUCAUGAGUUAUAAGCAUCAACUUUCCCAUGAUAUUGGAAUAUUUAGGAGGGGAAAAGGCCAUCACAAAUGAAGCUGGACAAACAGAAUUAGGAAGAUGCUUCCCAGAACAGAAACAGAGCAGCCUAUGGCUAGAGGAUAAUACACGUUCUCCCAUGCCCUGGCCCAGGAUAAUCCACAUUGCAUUCACUGCUGCCUGUAGGACAUUCGGAUACCAGCAUGGGUUUUGUUGUGAGACUCAUCCUAUACAGAGGUGGCCAACUGACAUCUUCAGACCUGAUUAAAACAUCUUUGAGUGCCUCCUGGAGCCAGGACUUUGUAUCCCACACAAAACAAGGCUUGCAGGGACUGCCACCUUCAACCAACCUCUGCAGCAUGGAAAGAAAUAUGCGCAUGCAUAUCUGGAACUGCAGCCAUCCAAAGAAUCCAUCAGCAACAUGGUUUAGUCUCAAUUAAUAGCUUUCCAGAAAAAAAAGGGAGGGGACAAAGCUUCUGAACAACUGGACAACCCAGGACUCUUCCAAGCACAAGACAAGCUUAUGCAUCAAAUAUCAUCCAGGAAAGCAUGAGUUUAAUUAGUUAACUUUGAAAUUGGAAGUCGUUGCUUAAAGAAGAAAUCACACUGGCCAGGUGUUACACCACUGGCCAGGUGUUAUACCACUACCAAGUCAUACAGUAUUAAAAGCACUCAAGCCAAGUUCCAGGUGCAUUUACAUCUCUGCAGAAUAUUAACACCACAGAGGGGAUGCUCAGCUUGCAGACAACUGCCUUCUUCCGCGCCCCCCCCCCCCCCGCAAAAUCUCAUAACUCCUGAUAUAUCAGCCCAGACUGAUUUCAGAAGCAAUUAGGCAAAAACUGAAAAGGCUAGAGCCACUGUGGUUAGCUCUGCAAAACUUCAGUUUCUCAGCUGGAACCAUUAGACACCAGUAACAGAUGGCCACAAGGAGCUUGGUUCCUAAGAAAACCCUGGGACCCCCACAGCACAAAGGUGAUCCAGCACUGGAUAUAAAGUAAUAUAAUGGAAAAAUAGUUUCCAUGCAGCAGGCAAACAGUGGCACUCAUUGCUGCAGGAUAUUGCAGUGCCAACAAGUUCAGCUAGGUUUUCAAAGUGUUUAAGAGUGAGUAGGGCCAUCACUGUCCAUUGAACAAAGGUAUUACAGCUCUGUAAUGACCUUCUUUCAACCCUUUUGCUCCAAUUUCUCCCUUAGGAUAAUAGUAUUGGAGAGAGCCACACUGUCCAAACUUACACUAAAGCCUCUUUACGGUCCCUGGUGCUUUGACCCUCACGUUUAAGCAUUCAGCUGGCUGCUCACAGUAUUUCCAAGUGAUGUAUUUACUCAAGUUGGUAUUUGCUCUGUAAUGGGAUUAUCUCAUUUCAGUAGUGCAAGGCAAGGCAGAUCCUACUUGUCCCCAAAUGUGCUUCUGCUCCCCAGAAUGAAUCUUCAUGCUCCCCAAUACCCCUUUUUUGAGGCAAGCAGCUUAUCUACCAGGGGCUGGGCCAUUUAGAGAUAUAGAAGGGCUACAAGCAUUUCAAGAAGUGUUUUACUAUGUUUGGCUUCUCAGCUACCACUAUCCCACACAAUCUUAGUCCUCUCAGUCCUAAGCUCAGCAAUGAGCUCCAGGAUAAGCUGAGUUGAGACACAAGCAACAAAGCAGGCUGAGUUUCAGUGCUCUACAAAAUAGGAUGCUGAGAAUGAAAACUGCUUUCAGGUUUCCUGACAAGAAAUGAAGUGGGAGAAUUACAUUAGUUUUUGGCUAGUUAAGGACACACUUAUUUUAGAAAUGAAGCUUUCCAGUUAAAAUAUUAAAAUAAAAAAAAAAAAUCAGAGACAGCAAUAGUCAAAACCUGUCUUAUCAACUCAGGUCAAGAGUGUGAAAAUACAACUACAGGAUUAGAGAAGCUCCCUUGAAAAGAAAGGGGCAUCAAAAUAUUUUGUUCAGACAUUUCAAAAAUGAAAUGUUUUGGCCUUCCUCUCCCCUUUUGCUGCUGACUUGCGAAGCCAGGUCCCCCCUUUAGCUUAGGUGGAUGCCCAAACAUGGGGGGAGGAGGGCGGUGAAGGCCCCCAUGAAAGCAGCAGCAGUACAGGAAACAAGGAAAGGACAAUUGAGAAAUAUCCAACUCAUCCUCAAUUAAGCAAGUGAUGGCAACUGACUUGCUUGCAUUCGCAGACAAGAGGAUAGCGUGGCAUUAUGGGAUGUGCCCAAGAGGUGGCCAGAGCUGGCACGCUAAAUACUCCUGUGCAGCCCUUAUACAAGUAAAAAACUUGUGGUCGCUCAUUAAAUUGAUCUAAGCUGGCCCUGUUUCAAAUGGGGGUUGGACGAGAGCCCUGUAGAGGUCCCUUCCAGCCUGCGUUACUCUGUGAAUAUCUGCAUCUGCAAACACCUUGUGCUUUGAAGUGACCUCACUUCAUUUCAGCCAGAAGCACUAGCAAUGACUGGGCAAAACAACACAGGAAAACAUGCAAAGGCAAAUCAACCCAUCCAAGUGUAGACUUCACUGUCCUGUUGGAAGACCUCACUUUCAACCACACAGCAACUUCAUCUGCAGUUCUUCCGGAGGAAGAUCACUUCAGUCCCAAGGAAAGAACCCCCAAAACACAUUGCUGCACCAUUUGUCCAAAGUUUUGAAGUUACAUCAAAAAAUUGAACUAAAUAUUAAACCCCUUAGAUCAGCUGGUCAUGAAGCAGACAAACUUCACAGGCUAUGUCUUCUCUCAAGAUCAAAGACCUAAGAAACCCUUCCCCACUCUCCUUCAUUGAACCUGUCCUGUGCAACAGAAAUUACUGGGAAGUUCAGGGCUCUCAGACUUCUGACCCUGGCCACAAUGGACAAAUACAUGAACCUGGAAAAAUAGAAGUUAACAGGAUGGGAGUUGUUAACCAGACAACUGGAGCCUUGAAAACAGAGCUCUACUGCAGGCAAUCAAUGGGCCAGCCUCCCACCAGCAACGAGCAGCAGCCUGAGCCCCAUCCAACCUGCCAGCCUGAGAACUGCUUCUGUGAUCCAGGGUGCCACAUGUCCCUUGUGGGCCUUUCCCACCCCUUGGGUAAUAAAGGGAUUGUUCCAACUUUCAAAA